rnacentral:rRNA from 1 species
ACGUAGGGUGCGAGCGUUAAUCGGAAUUACUGGGCGUAAAGAGUGCGUAGGCGGUUGCUGAAGUCCGCUGUGAAAGCCCCGGGCUCAACCUGGGAAUGGCAGUGGAAACUAGGCGACUUGAAUCUGGCAGAGGGGGGUGGAAUGCCGCGUGUAGCAGUGAAAUGCGUAGAGAUGCGGCGGAACACCGAUGGCGAAGGCAGCCCCCUGGGCUGAGAUUGACGCUCAGGCACGAAAGCGUGGGGAGCAAACAGGAUUAGAUACCCUGGUAGUCCACGCCCUAAACGAUGGCAACUAGGUGUUGGGGAAGCGAUUUCCUGGUACCGCAGCUAACGCGUGAAGUUGCCCGCCUGGGGAGUACGGUCGCAAGAUUA